UAGGGAAUUUUCGGCAAUGGGCGCAAGCCUGACCGAGCAACGCCGCGUGAGUGAAGACGGCCUUCGGGUUGUAAAGCUCUGUUGUAAAGGAAGAACGGCCUGGAUAGGAUCUAGGAGUGACGGUACUUUACCAGAAAGCCACGGCUAACUACGUGCCAGCAGCCGCGGUAAUACGUAGGUGGCAAGCGUUAUCCGGAAUUAUUGGGCGUAAAGGGUGCGUAGGCGGUUGAUUAAGUUUUAGGUGAAAGCGUGGAGCUCAACUCCAUACAGCCUAAGAAACUGGUCAACUAGAGUGCAGAAGAGGGUAGUGGAAUUCCAUGUGUAGCGGUAAAAUGCGUAGAUAUAUGGAGGAACACCAGUGGCGAAGGCGGCUACCUGGUCUGUAACUGACGCUCAAGCACGAAAGCGUGGGGAGCAAAUA
rnacentral:rRNA from 1 species